UGGGGAAGUAUUGCACAAUGGGGGAAACCCGUGAUGCAGCAACGCCGCGUGAAGGAAGACGGUUUUCGGAUUGUAAACUUCUGUUCUUAGUGAAGAAGAAUGACGGUAGCUAAGGAGCAAGCCACGGCUAACUACGUGCC
rnacentral:rRNA from 1 species